rnacentral:rRNA from 1 species
AACGAACGCUGGCGGCAGGCCUAACACAUGCAAGUCGAACGCUCUAGCAAUAGAGAGUGGCAGACGGGUGAGUAAACGCGUGGGAACCUUCCCAGUGGUGCGGAAUAGCUCAGGGAAACUUGGGGUAAUACCGCAUGAGCCCGAAAGGGGAAAGAUUUAUCGCCAUUGGAUGGGCCCGCGUAGGAUUAGCUAGUUGGUGAGGUAAUGGCUCACCAAGGCAACGAUCCUUAGCUGGUUUGAGAGAAUGACCAGCCACACUGGGACUGAGACACGGCCCAGACUCCUACGGGAGGCAGCAGUGGGGAAUAUUGGACAAUGGGCGCAAGCCUGAUCCAGCCAUGCCGCGUGAGUGACGAAGGCCUUAGGGUUGUAAGCUCUUUUACCAGGGAUGAUAAUGACAGUACCUGGAGAAUAAGCUCCGGCUAACUACGUG